rnacentral:lncRNA from 1 species
CCAAAAUAUUGGCGUCUCAGCUUCAGGAUCUGUCCUUCCAGUGAGCACUCAGGGCUGAUUUCCUUCAAAAUGGAGAGGUUGGAUCUUCUUGCAGUCCAUGGGACUCUCCAGAGUCUCCUCCAGCACCAUAAUUCAAAAGCAUCAAUUCUUCGGCGAUCAGCCUUCUUUAUGGUCCAGCUCUCACUUCCAUGCAUCACUACUGGGAAAACCAUAGCUUUUACUAUACGGACCUUUGUUCAGCCUUUGGGAAGUGGUAAAUCUGCAAGCAACACAAAAACCUUUGAUUUCUUUCAGUUUGACGGAGAAUACCUGAAGCCUUUACGAUGGCUCUUGAUGCACAGUGUUAAAUACAUCGGUUGGUGGGGGUCCCCUUUGUCUCUUCCCCCAGUGACCCACUAUACUUUCCAUAAUCAAGGCCGGCAAGGGGGGGGGGCGAGGUAUACGCUCUUUCCUUUUCUGAAUAUUCUCUCAUUAGGCUGGAGGGGUGCACACCAGAAGGGCUAAUUGUUGGAAUCUUUAAUUGUUCCCCUAUGACCCCGGCUUCCCUCGGGUGAUAGUGGGCCACCACUGGAUCUAAUAGAGAGAAAAUCUGACUGCCGCUCCGACUAAUGGAACACUUUCCCCUCAUUUUCUCCGUGGGGGGGCUGUGGGAGUGCAGCGUUCUAAUUGUUGCUCUUACGGUAAUUGGAGGUAGUAGGUGUACGAAUAAUUUCAUUGUCUUUCCUGCAAGGGGGUAGGUUUAUUUACGACCUCUUUGACGCCUCUUAGACCCCGGCAGCAGCACGGCGAAGAUUGCAUUAGCUUUCCUUGCUGGUUGAGCAAGGGCUACCCGAAAGCUGUCAUUAACUCAGGGAGAAGUCGGGAACCCGGCUGGACAGGCAGGUCUGGAGCAAAUCGCGGCAGCGCGAGGUGCUAAAGAAGGUGCCGUCCUGCCACAAAUCUUGGGGGUUUUCUUGGAGCCCCCAAGCCCUCUCUGCUCUGGGAUGAAAAGCAGGAUGGUUUCAGGCUCUUUCCUGAAAGGAAGCUAAAUUGCAAAAACCUCCCCCUUCCUCGAAAAAAACCCCAAUUUCCUGCCACUUUUGCCACUUUUCUGUUCGCCCUAAUAAUGUUUGGAUCAUCUUCUUUCUGCAAAUGCAAGAGGGAAUCCCAGGAUGGUGUCGCAGCACCAUGCGGCCAAUCAGAGGUGGCCGUGUGACUAAAGGACAAAGAAAGCCAAUUGAGAGAGAGGACACCGCGCAGUGAUAUUGCUGUGGCUAACCUACGGGAGGCUGGCAAGCAGGACCUGAGUGCGAGAACACCCCAACUGUGAAUCCCAGCAUACUGUCUCCGAUAUUGAAGAAUAUAGCCUUGUUAUAGAAAUAUAGCGUGUUGCGCUGUGGUCUAAACCACUGAGCCUUGGGCUUGCCAAUCGGAAGGUCGGCAGUUUGAAUCCCCUCGACGGGGUGAGCUCCCGUUGCUCGGUCCCAGCUCCUGCCAACCUAGCAGUUCAAAAGCACACCAGUGCAAGUAGAUAAAUAGGUACCACUCCAGCGGGAAGGUAAAUGGCAUUUCCGUGCACUGCUCUGAUUCGCAAGACGUGGCUUAGUCAUGCCGGCCACAUGACCCAGAAGUUGUCUGCAGACAAACGCUGGCACCCUGGGCCUAUACAAUGAGAUGAGCAAGCAGCCCCAGAAUUGUCCGCGACUGGACCUAACAGCCAGGGGUACCUUUACCUUUAGAGUUGGAAGGGACCAUGAAGGCCAUACAGUCUAAGCCUCUGCGAUGCAGGAAUACUUUUGCCCAACGUGGGGCUUGAACCGAUGACCCUGACAUUAAGAAUCUCAUGCUCUACCAACUGAGCUAUUGGAUGAGGCCCAUGAUAAGGCUCAGGGAGCUUCAUUAUGCUCAGGAGGCUGCUAGUAUAAUGAUGAUGAUGAUGAGCUGCCAUGGAUGCUUUAGCUGAGAUUCCUGCAUUGCAGGGGGUUGGACUAGAGGACCCAGCUCUAUGAUUCGAUGAUAAUGAUGAUGAAGAAGAGUUUGGAUUUGAUAUCCCGCUUAAUCACUACCCGAAGGAGUCUCAAAAUGGCUAACAAUCUCCUUUCCCUUCCUCCCCCACAACAAACACUCUGUGAGGUGAGUGGGGCUGAGAGACUUCAGAGAAGUGUGACUGGCCCAAGGUCACCCAGCAGCUGCAUGUGGAGGAGCGGGGAAGCGAACCCGGUUCACCAGAUUACGAGUCCAGUGCUCUUAACCACUACACCACAAAGGCUAUGGGAUUCCCUUCUUCACACACACUAUGUAUGUAUGUACAGUUUGGUUGCCAGAUUUUUUUCAAUGAAUCUGGGGACCCUUUUUUUUUUUUGCUGCGUAGCAACAGGGAGUCAGUAGUGGGGAUGGUGAGGCAAAAGACCCUGGGCCCAAGCACACAUUCUCCCAGAGUUGUUUGGCAGGGCAGGAAGCCUCGAAUAAAAUUUAAGAUAUUGAUGGAUGCCAAAGAAGGAGGGGGAUCUGCCCUGCCAGACCUUUAAACUUUGCUGUGAACCACCUGCUUUUUGCUGGUUGAGAGAAUGGUUGCCUUUUGAAAACACUGAAGCGUUGGACAAUGGCAGAUGAAGUUGAUGGACUAUAUGGAAUUGGCGGAAAUGACUGGCGAGAUCCGAGACCAGGGAGAAGAGUCGGUGGAAGAAGAUUGGAAAAAGUUUAAAGACUAUUUAUAGAAAUAUUGUAAAAUUAAGGAAUGUUAGAAAAAUGUUGGAAUGAAAAUAUAUGGCUUUAGCAGAAAUGUCAUAAGGAAUUAAGUAUAAAUAGAUCAAUAGAAAAUUAAAGGAAAAGUAUGGCAAGAAUGUGUUAUGAUAAUUAUAGAACAGAAAACAGAGUAAGAUGGAAAGGAAUUGCUGAAACAAAUAAUAGAAGUGGAAUACAAAAAGGGAGGUGGGAGGAGGUCGCUGGAAAUAAGUGAAUGAAAUAUAAGAUAUUGAAAAUGUUUGAGGUGUUUUUAAAUUGUUUUUGCUUGUUCUUGUUUGUUUUGUUAGUCCAUGUAGCGUCUUUGUAUUGUACUU